UUUAUAUGAGAGUUUGAUCCUGCUCAGGAUAAACGCCGGCGGUGUGCCUAAUACAUGCAAGUCGUACGCACUGGCCCAACUGAUUGAUGGUGCUUGCACCUGAUUGACGAUGGAUCACCAGUGAGUGGCGGACGGGUGAGUAACACGUAGGUAACCUGCCCCGGAGCGGGGGAUAACAUUUGGAAACAGAUGCUAAUACCGCAUAACAACAAAAACCACAUGGCUUUUGUUUGAAAGAUGGCUUUGGCUAUCACUCUGGGAUGGACCUGCGGUGCAUUAGCUAGUUGGUAAGGUAACGGCUUACCAAGCAAUGAUGCAUAGCCGAGUUGAGAGACUGAUCGGCCACAAUGGAACUGAGACACGGUCCAUACUCCUACGGGAGGCAGCAGUAGGGAAUCUUCCACAAUGGGCGCAAGCCUGAUGGAGCAACACCGCGUGAGUGAAGAAGGGUUUCGGCUCGUAAAGCUCUGUUGUUGGAGAAGAAUUGCGUGAGAGUAACUGUUCACGCAGUGACGGUAUCCAACCAGAAAGUCACGGCUAACUACGUGCCAGCAGCCGCGGUAAUACGUAGGUGGCAAGCGUUAUCCGGAUUUAUUGGGCGUAAAGCGAGCGCAGGCGGUUGCUUAGGUCUGAUGUGAAAGCCUUCGGCUUAACCGAAGAAGUGCAUCGGAAACCGG
rnacentral:rRNA from 2 species